AUUGAACGCUGGCGGCAGGCCUAACACAUGCAAGUCGAGCGGUUGACGGGAGCUUGCUCCCUGAUUCAGCGGCGGACGGGUGAGUAAUGCCUAGGAACCUGCCUAUUAGUGGGGGACAACGUUUCGAAAGGGACGCUAAUACCGCAUACGUCCUACGGGAGAAAGCAGGGGACCUUCGGGCCUUGCGCUAAUAGAUGAGCCUAGGUCGGAUUAGCUUGUUGGUGAGGUAAUGGCUCACCAAGGCGACGAUCCGUAACUGGUCUGAGAGGAUGAUCAGUCACACUGGAACUGAGACACGGUCCAGACUCCUACGGGAAGCAGCAGUGGGGAAUAUUGGACAAUGGGCGAAAGCCUGAUCCAGCCAUGCCGCGUGUGUGAGGAAGGUCUUCGGAUUGUAAAGCACUUUAAGUUGGGAGGAAGGGUUGUAGAUUAAUACUCUGCAAUUUUGACGUUACCGACAGAACAAGCACCGGCUAACUCUGUGCCAGCAGCCGCCGUAAAAC
rnacentral:rRNA from 1 species